rnacentral:rRNA from 1 species
AGUGAACGCUGGCGGUAGGCCUAACACAUGCAAGUCGAACGGCAGCACAGUAAGAGCUUGCUCUUACGGGUGGCGAGUGGCGGACGGGUGAGGAAUACAUCGGCAUCUACUUUUUCGUGGGGGAUAACGUGGGGAAACUUACGCUAAUACCGCAUACGACCUACGGGUGAAAGCAGGGGAUCUUCGGACCUUGCGCGAUUGAAUGAGCCGAUGUCGGAUUAGCUAGUUGGCGGGGUAAAGGCCCACCAAGGCGACGAUCCGUAGCUGGUCUGAGAGGAUGAUCAGCCACACUGGAACUGAGACACGGUCCAGACUCCUACGGGAGGCAGCAGUGGGGAAUAUUGGACAAUGGGCGCAAGCCUGAUCCAGCCAUACCGCGUGGGUGAAGAAGGCCUUCGGGUUGUAAAGCCCUUUUGUUGGGAAAGAAAAGCAGCAGGUUAAUACCCCGCUGUUCUGACGGUACCCAAAGAAUAAGCACCGGCUAACUUCGUG